UAAUGCUUCUUGCGCAACAGAUACUUAUUUCUUUAAUAAAAAAGGAAACCCUCUUCAUGGUUUAAAAAAUAAACAGUCUAUGUAAUUACUAAACCCAUAAGACAGAUUUCCGAAGAAAGAAAAAAAAAUUAAGCGUUUGAUUAAUUUCUUAAAAAUAAAUUGGACAUUUAUUCUGAAGAUAACUUUAUGUUUUGGUAGUUAAAAAAUAGAUUUUGCAACGUAACAUGAUCAAUUAUUUCCUUCUCUUUAUGUGCCACCUCUGGUUAACACUUUUUGAAAGUCUGUAAUUCAUACUAACCGACGUAUCAAUUUCAUUAGUAAUUCAAGGGCCGGAAAAGUGACAAUUAUAUUGGAAACUAAUCAGUAAAUCGCAUCCGGACUCACGCCUAUAAAAUAAGUGAGACUUUUCUCAUGGAUUCAGUAUAACUUUAGUACACGAUGAGAAACCUAAUCAUUUGUAGCUUGGCUUUAGCCUUUGUCGCCUUUUCUUUAACCGAGGCUGCGACCACGACCAGUUCGCCUCCACCAACUCACUAUACCCCAAAACCUCCAAGGUGUCCUUAUCCAUCAGACGUCAUAACUUUCCUUCCUUUUGAUGGAGAUUGCACCAAAUAUUGGGAGUGUUACAAGGGCAACAGUUACCUCUACCAGUGUCCUGGAGGACUUUGGUGGCAUCAAACAAUCAGCGUGUGUGACCAUCCCGGAGAUUACUGCGCUCAAAAUUAAAUUGAAAGAAAAAUGUUGUCAGUAGUAUUGUCACGAUCAUGGAAUUAGCUUUGUUUUUGAAAAAUAAAUAAAAUAUAUUUAAAGCAAUAAUAA